AGAGUUUUNNAUCCUGGCUCAGGAUGAACGCUAGCCGGCAGGCUUUAACCACAUGCAAGUCGAGGGGGUAUAGAGAGCUUGCUUUCUAGAGACCGGCGCACGGGGUGCGUAACGCGUAUGCAAUCUACCUUUUACAGAGGGAUAGCCCAGAGAAAUUUGGAUUAAUACCUCAUAGCAUAGCAGCUUCGCAUGAAGCCACUAUUAAAGUCACAACGGUAAAAGAUGAGCAUGCGUCCCAUUAGUUAGUUGGUAAGGUAACGGCUUACCAAGACUACGAUGGGUAGGGGUCCUGAGAGGGAGAUCCCCCACACUGGUACUGAGACACGGACCAGACUCCUACGGGAGGCAGCAGUGAGGAAUAUUGGACAAUGGGCGCAAGCCUGAUCCAGCCAUGCCGCGUGCAGGAUGACGGUCCUAUGGAUUGUAAACUGCUUUUAUACGAGAAGAAACACUCCUUCGUGAAGGAGCUUGACGGUAUCGUAAGAAUAAGGAUCGGCUAACUCCGUGCCAGCAGCCGCGGUAAUACGGAGGAUCCAAGCGUUAUCCGGAAUCAUUGGGUUUAAAGGGUCCGUAGGCGGUUUAGUAAGUCAGUGGUGAAAGCCCAUCGCUCAACGGUGGAACGGCCAUUGAUACUGCUAAACUUGAAUUAUUAGGAAGUAACUAGAAUAUGUAGUGUAGCGGUGAAAUGCUUAGAGAUUACAUGGAAUACCAAUUGCGAAGGCAGGUUACUACUAAUGGAUUGACGCUGAUGGACGAAAGCGUGGGUAGCGAACAGGAUUAGAUACCCCUGGUAGUCCACGCCGUAAACGAUGGAUACUAGCUGUUGGGAGCAAUCUCAGUGGCUAAGCGAAAGUGAUAAGUUCCCCCCUGGA
rnacentral:rRNA from 1 species